rnacentral:rRNA from 1 species
AUGGAGUUUGGUGUGGCCGCAUUUGGCGCACUAGUUAGCGUCGCCUUGACAAAGCUCUGCUCGGUAAAGGAGAAGGAGCUGAAAUCUGAUGCUAUAUUCAUCAGCAAUAAACUCCGGAUGAUCAGCGCUAUUAUGAAAGAUCAUGCUCGUAAGGGUGGGUGUUUCAGUUGGGUGCAGAUAGAAUUGAUUGCACAACUGAGGCGACUGUCAUAUGACAUCGAAGACUGCAUAGACUACUUCCAUGCCAAGAAGAUGAACCUCGAAGUUUUUUCUGCAGAGAUUCGUGAUCUCAAGGUCAGAUCAAAAAACAUGUCAAGUGAGAUAAUAGGUCUUGCUGCCACACUGACUGUUAUGGGUCCUCCUGUUAAAGAUGGUGUUGUUAUCCUCAAACAGAGUCUGAAUCCCCCUGGUAACGUCAACUGCUUGUUAUAUUUGUGUUUGUUCCCUCCUAAUCAUCCUGUAAGGACUAAGCCCCUAAUAAGGAGAUGGCUGGCUGAGGGACUAGUACAGCGAGAAAAAGAUGCUGUCACAAAUCUGAAAAUAUUCAUCAAAUCAAGUAUCAUCAGUUCAACCCAGACAAGCAACAAUGGGAAGGUGAGGAGAUGCCAACCUACUGAAUUGAUGCUCGAGUACACAUCCCAGCAAUCUAUGUCCGAAUAUUCCAUACUGUUCUGUGAUGGCGCAGCCCAAACAUUGCUGGCGGAACAAUCGCAGGCGGAAUCACUGCAGGCCCAAGCCGCCCGCAGGUUGUCUGUGCAUCCUGCUGCGAAUGGCGAACUGAAUUUGCCUCAAGAUUUAUCUCGUCUCCGGACCCUGGCGAUAUUCCCAUCAAAUACGGCGAAUCUCGCCAGCUAUGAAGCUGUUCUUGAUUUUUCCAAGUAUAAAGUGCUGCGGGUGUUGGAUCUGAAAGAAUGUGCUGACAUGAGCGAAAAACAUCUCCAAGAUAUCUGUAGUCAGGUGCUGAUGAAAUAUCUGAGCAUCAAUUCAGGCAAAGUUGAUCGGAUUGGAAGGGACAUUGGGAAUCUGGAUCAGUUAGAGACGCUGGACCUGAGCGGAAGCAAAACAGUGAUGGUGUUCAAAGAAGUCUUGCUGCUGCCCAAAUUGAUGCACCUCUUUGGGAAGCUCCAGCUUACCAGCACGAACACCACCAUGCUGGGAUGGAAGCUAAAGAACUUCUUGAGAGAUAAGAGUGUGCUAGAGACACUGGCAGGAUUUGUCACCGGUGGGAGAACAGGAUUUCCACAGCUGAUGAGAUGUAUGAGGAUGCUGCGGAAGGUGAAGAUAUGGUGCAAAUCGGAUGCAAGUGAAGAAAACCUGGAUGCUAUUUCACAGGCCAUUACGAAAUUCAUUCGUGAUGGGACCGCUGAUCCUCGUCGCGGUCGGUCCUUAUCGAUCGACUUCGUCGAAUGCCCCAGGGAUUUCAUGAAUACUAUAAACUCAGAUGGUUCCAAAGGCAUACUCGACUCGCUCAAGCUGUGCGGCAAACUGAGCGAAUUCGCUAAGUUUGUUGCACACCUAACUGCUAUCAAGGAGCUGUGCCUUUGUUCCACUGGUCUGAGCUGGGUGGUUAUACGAGACGGGCUAGCCAACGUGAGGGGACUGAAAUAUCUUAAGCUUAUUGAAGAUAACCUUGGGUCUAUCGACAUACUGUCUGAAGCUGACCACCUCAAAGCCAUUAAGCGGAUAUACGUCGUGUGCAAGCAAACGCUGAAAGUAGCAGUCGCAGCGGCCCCGCUGCCUAAUCUUGUGUCAGUUCAUAUCCUCUGCCAAGAUCUGCAUGCUAUCCCUGGAACUUCUUGCAUAGAAAUCACAAACAGCAUGAAAAAACUGGAGGAAGUCGCGCUCCAUCCUAAAGUCGACGGAGCAAUAAGCGCUGAACUGCAGCAAGCUGCAAAGGGCCAUGACAAUAAGCCCAAGGUUUCAUUCAUUGACUAUCCCCAAUAA